AUUCACAAUACUUUGAGUACUUACCAUACAAACGGAAAUAUAAAGAGAGUGUUGUUCGUAUUUUGAAUAGGCGUGAAAUAAAAGAAAAUCGUACUUUUUUUCAGACAAAGAAUCAUAAGCGUUCAUAUCCUUCCAAAAACUCACAAUACUUCUAUACCCGGUCUUUUUGUGCCGCCAAAGUGGGUUCUUCAGCUUGGCCUUCUUUGCAUCCACUUUCUGUGUCAGGAUGUGAUUUGGGUGGUGGAAGGAGGAGC
rnacentral:misc_RNA from 1 species